AUGAGCCCAAUGCAGAGUGGUGCAGUAUUCUAGUCGGUUCCUCUCUUCUGAAGGCGGGGCUAAAAAUCCGCCAAAGGGCACAUCGAUGAAGUCCCUGGUGUUGGCUUCUGACGCCCAGUCGGGGGUCGAUCCAGGGGUUAAGGAGGAAGGGCGAUCCACAAGGGCAUGUGGGCGAGGACCCAGCCUCCGCGGAGGCCUCGACGGGGAUGUCGUCGGACAUCUCCUGUCCCUUCGAGGUAUCAACCUGCCUUGCGGGUAUUCGACGGCCUAGUAGGCAGCGUAGCCUGCCUUGAGUGGUGUCGCGGGGAUGAAGGUUUCCGCCCUCUUUGGAUGGCUCCUACUGAAAGCGGCACUGCAAAAGAGGCUAGGAAGAGCAUAAUUGGGACCGCUGGGGAAAACCCCUAGACUGUUUGCCUUUUGGCGAGGUGGAGCGGGGAUUGCAGUGCGGACUAAGUGGUAAUCCAGUCCGGCGAACGGUAACGCGUCGAGGAGGAGU
rnacentral:sRNA from 1 species